rnacentral:rRNA from 1 species
UACGUAGGGUGCGAGCGUUGUCCGGAAUUAUUGGGCGUAAAGAGCUCGUAGGCGGUGUGUUACGUCGGCCGUGAAAACCUGCAGCUUAACUGUGGGCGUGCGGUCGAUACGGGCAUCACUGGAGUUCGGCAGGGGAGACUGGAAUUCCUGGUGUAGCGGUGAAAUGCGCAGAUAUCAGGAGGAACACCGGUGGCGAAGGCGGGUCUCUGGGCAGUAACUGACGCUGAGGAGCGAAAGCGUGGGGAGCGAACAGG